AUUGACGGAAAGGCACACAAAGAGUGGAACCUGCGGCUUAUUUGACUCAACACGGGACAACUCACCGGGUCCAGAUACGCUAUAUGAAGAACAAGCGGAAAGACUUUUUCCAAUUACGUAAGUGGUGGUGCAUGGCCGUUCUUAGUUCGUGGAUUGAUUUGUCUGGUCUAUUCCGAUAACGAGCGAGAUCUUUAUGUUUAACUAGGGUAUCCCCUGCCAGGUCUUUCGGGCUGCUCAGUUCCUCGGUUGGGCUUCCUUUCGAGAAGGUGCGUUCGCGUUAUCGUAAGGGGGAGGUUCUUCAUGGGGGGCUGGGGUUAACAGUCCGUUUGUGCCAGCAGGGGGCCAAUUUUGAGUUUCGGCUUCUUCUUAAACAGAUCGGGGCCGAAAAGGUCCUUGAAAAAAGGUAAUAACAGGUCAGUGAUGCCCUUAGAUGUUCCGGGCCGCACGCGGGUUACAAUGGCAUGUAAAAUAAGUAUACCCCCUAUUCCAAAAGUGUCCGGUCGUUCGUGCGCCUCUCCGGGCGAUUUCGGCGGCCGGCACCGGGGGGAAGACCCGCUGCCUAACGGAUUUGCGAUAAUCAUUAAACCCUGCCUUGUCUGGGAUAGUCUUUUGUAACUAUUGGUCUUGAACGUGGAAUUUUUAGUAGGCGCAGCUCAUUAAGCUGUGCCGAAUCUGUCCCUGCCUUUUGUACACACCG
rnacentral:rRNA from 1 species